GGAUGGACAGACCGCUGGUGUACCAGUUGUUCCGCCAGGAGCACAGCUGGGUAUCCAUGUCUGGAUGGGAUAAGCGCUGAAGGCAUCUAAGCGCGAAGCCCACCUCAAGAUAAGGUUUCCCAUCCGGCUAACGGAGUAAGACCCCUGGUAGACCACCAGGUUGAUAGGCCGGGAGUGUAAGCGCAGCAAUGCGUUCAGCGGACCGGUACUAAUAGGUCGAGGGCUUGACCCG
rnacentral:rRNA from 1 species